rnacentral:rRNA from 1 species
GGAGCAUGUGGUUUAAUUCGAAGCAACGCGAAGAACCUUACCAGGUCUUGACAUCCCGAUGCUAUUCUAGAGAUAGAAGUUACUUCGGUACAUCGGUGACAGGUGGUGCAUGGUUGUCGUCAGCUCGUGUCGUGAGAUGUUGGGUUAAGUCCCGCAACGAGCGCAACCCCUAUUGUUAGUUGCCAUCAUUCAGUUGGGCACUCUAGCGAGACUGCCGGUAAUAAACUGGAGGAAGGUGGGAUGACGUCAAAUCAUCAUGCCCCUUAUGACCUGGGCUACACACGUGCUACAAUGGUUGGUACAACGAGUUGCGAGUCGGUGACGGCGAGCUAAUCUCUUAAAGCCAAUCUCAGUUCGGAUUGUAGGCUGCAACUCGCCUACAUGAAGUCGGAAUCGCUAGUAAUCGCAGGUCAGCAUACUGCGGUGAAUACGUUCCCGGGCCUU